rnacentral:tRNA from 1 species
GGCACUGUAGCUUAGCUGGUCAAAGCGCCUGUCUUGUAAACAGGAGAUCCUAGGUUCAAAUCCCAGCAGUGCCU